GAUGAACGCUAGCGAUAGGCUUAACACAUGCAAGUCGAGGGACCGGCGCACGGGUGCGUAACGCGUAUGCAACUUGCCUCACAGAGGGGGAUACACCGUCGAAAGACGGACUAAUACCGCGUACUGUGAGAUAGGCAUGCGUCCCAUUAGCAAGUUGGUGAGGUAACGGCUCACCAAGGCAACGAUGGGUAGGGGAACGGAGAGGUUGAACCCCCACACUGGUACUGGGACACGGACCAGACUCGUACGCGAGGCAGCAGUUAGGAAUAUUUGUCAAUGGGCGGGAGCCUGAACCAGCCAAUUCGCGUGAAGGAUGACUGUCUAUGGAGUGUAAACUUCUUUUGUAGGGGAAUAUGUACCCUACGAAUAAGCAUCGGCUAACUCCGUGCCAGCAGCCGCGGUAAUUC
rnacentral:rRNA from 1 species